rnacentral:rRNA from 1 species
GAUGAACGCUGGCGGCGUGCCUAAUACAUGCAAGUCGUGCGGUAACACUUCGGGUGACGAGCGGCGGACGGGUGAGUAAUGCAUAGGAACGUGCCCCAAAGUGAGGGAUAACUGCUCGAAAGAGUAGCUAAUACCGCAUAUUAUCUUCGGAUCAAAGCUUCGGCGCUUUGGGAGCGGCCUAUGUCUGAUUAGCUAGUUGGUAGGGUAAAGGCCUACCAAGGCGACGAUCAGUAGCUGGUUUGAGAGGAUGAUCAGCCACACUGGGACUGAGACACGGCCCAGACUCCUACGGGAGGCAGCAGUAGGGAAUUUUCCACAAUGGGGGCAACCCUGAUGGAGCAACGCCGCGUGCAGGAUGAAGGCCUUCGGGUCGUAAACUGCUUUUGUACGGAACGAAAAGGCUCUGGUUAAUACCUGGGGCUCAUGACGGUACCGUAAGAAUAAGCACCGGC